AAGUUUUAAUUUAGUAAAAUUAUAAUUUCGAUUAUAAUAACGGCUAUUUAAAUGAUCCAUGAAACAAUAAGUUUAUUUUUUCAAAAAUUAAUUUAAUCGUACCGAUAACCGCAUCAGGUCUCCAAGGUGAGUAGCUUCUGGCCAUUGAGUAAUGGUAAUUUAGGGAAUUCGGCCAAUUAGAGCUGUAACUUCGGGAUAAAGCUUGGCUCUGAUGGAAAUCAGAACCGAUAGUUACAAGGAGAGCCCAACUGUUUAAUAAAAACUUAGUGUCGCGUCAUACCUUUAUAAGUAAUAAACGUGACAUGAAUCCUGCUCAGUGCUGUGUUUGUUAAACUGGAUUAAUCCAUUUAAGCGCCGGUAAAUAGCUGGGGUAACUAUGACUCUUAUCAAAGUAGCGAAAUACCUCGUCACUUAAUUAGUGACCUGCAUGAACGGAGCUAUGAGGUUCUCACUGUCCCAAAUUAUCACUCAGCGAACCAACAGUUGUGGGAACGGGCACAAAUUAUCCAGCGGGGAAAGAAGACCCUGUAGAGCUUCACUUUGGUCUAAUCUUGUAUAGUUUCGUUAGGGGUGCAGUCUAGGUGGGAGAUUUUUAAUCAAAUAUGAGAAACCACUACCCUUUCUGGAAUUAUACUUACUAAAAUUCUUUUCUAAAUUUUAGGAUCGGAUUAGAUAGAAAGUUUGGCUGGGGCGGCACACCUUCGAAAAAGCAGCGAAGGUGUCCUAAGUUAAGCUCAGUAAGGACAGAAAUCUUACGUUGAGGAUAAGGCCAAAAGCUUAAUUUACUGUGCCUUUUUGUACUAGGAUCAGUUUGGAAACAAAGGCCUAACGAUCCCUAAUUAGUCUUAGGUGUGUAAGACUUGGGGUGACAGACAAGUUACCUCCGGGACAACUGGCUUGUGGCUGCUAAGAGAUCAAAUCAACGCAGCUUUUUGAUUCUUCGAUGUCGGCUCUUCCUAUCCUAGUGAUGUACAAGUCACUAAGGGUUGGAUUGUUCACCCGUAUUAGGGAUCGUGAGCUGGGUUUAGACCGUCGUGAGCCAGGUUUGUUUUAUCCUACUGGAUAUAAUUUAGCAUCUUGAUAGUAGUUUGAUUUAGUACGAGAGGAACUGUUGAAUAUGGUCUCUGGUUUGGGAAUUUUAUGAAAAUAAAAGUUCCAAAGCUACGCCGUCUGAGAUAAUGGCUGAAGGCCUCUUAAGCCAGAAACUCAUCUAAAAAUAGAUGCUUUA
rnacentral:rRNA from 1 species